UACGUAGGUCCCGAGCGUUGUCCGGAUUUAUUGGGCGUAAAGCGAGCGCAGGUGGUUUAAUAAGUCUGAUGUAAAAGGCAGUGGCUCAACCAUUGUGUGCAUUGGAAACUGUUAGACUUGAGUGCAGUAGAGGAGAGUGGAAUUCCAUGUGUAGCGGUGAAAUGCGUAGAUAUAUGGAGGAACACCGGUGGCGAAGGCGACUCUCUGGUCUGUAACUGACGCUGAGGCUCGAAAGCGUGGGGAGCAAACAGG
rnacentral:rRNA from 1 species